UACAGAGGUGGCUAGCGUUGUUCGGAAUUACUGGGCGUAAAGGGCGCGUAGGCGGCUUGGUCAGUCCCGUGUGAAAUCCCUCGGCUCAACUGAGGAACUGCACGGGAAACUGCCUGGCUUGAGUUCGGGAGAGGGAAGCGGAAUUCCGGGUGUAGCGGUGAAAUGCGUAGAUAUCCGGAGGAACACCGGUGGCGAAGGCGGCUUCCUGGACCAGCACC
rnacentral:rRNA from 1 species